rnacentral:tRNA from 1 species
GCCUGGAUGGCGGAAUUGGUAGACGCAGCGGACUUAAAAUCCGCCGGAUUUAACCCCGUACCGGUUCGAUUCCGGUUCCAGGCACCA